CCCGCUCGACGGCGGCGGGCCUGUGCGUCUC
rnacentral:sRNA from 1 species